rnacentral:rRNA from 1 species
UACAGAGGGGGCAAGCGUUUAUUCGGAAUUAUUGGGCGUAAAGAGCUCGUAGGCGGUCUGUCGCGUCCGUUGUGAAAACUCGAGGCUCAACCUCGGGCUUGCAGUGGAUACGGGCAGACUAGAGUGCGGUAGGGGAGACUGGAAUUCCUGGUGUAGCGGUGGAAUGCGCAGAUAUCAGGAGGAACACCGAUGGCGAAGGCAGGUCUCUGGGCCGCAACUGACGCUGAGGAGCGAAAGCAUGGGGAGCGAACAGG